GUUUGUUGAGCUUUGCCAGAAGGAAGACUGUAGCAGAAGUGACAACAGGGAUGAGAACUUCAUUUGGGAUAAGUUUCGGAGCCAGACGUUGCUUUAAGAACAAGGCUGCCGCAGGCACUCCAUACAGGUGGACAGGGGUGUGCCUUGUAGGACCCUAACCAAUCAAGAAUUCAAAUUUAUUUGAUGCUACGCAUUCGUAAUGUGACAAACCGAUCAAUCCAUUUUUGCUCCCAACUUGCAAGUUGCCAGCAUGGAGUUAUGGACCACCAUAAAGGGAAUGUGAUAUUUUUGUAAGCAAAACUAAAUUAUUAGUAGU